rnacentral:tRNA from 1 species
AGAUAGGUAAGCUAAGUUAAGCUCAUGGGUUCAUGCCCCAUUUAUAGGUUAUACCUCCUCUCUA